rnacentral:rRNA from 1 species
UAGGGAAUCUUCCGCAAUGGGCGAAAGCCUGACGGAGCAACGCCGCGUGAGUGAUGAAGGGUUUCGGCUCGUAAAACUCUGUUAUUAGGGAAGAACAUAUGUGUAAGUAACUGUGCACAUCUUGACGGUACCUAAUCAGAAAGCCACGGCUAACUACGUGCCAGCAGCCGCGGUAAUACGUAGGUGGCAAGCGUUAUCCGGAAUUAUUGGGCGUAAAGCGCGCGUAGGCGGUUUCUUAAGUCUGAUGUGAAAGCCCACGGCUCAACCGUGGAGGGUCAUUGGAAACUGGGAAACUUGAGUGCAGAAGAGGAAAGUGGAAUUCCAUGUGUAGCGGUGAAAUGCGCAGAGAUAUGGAGGAACACCAGUGGCGAAGGCGACUUUCUGGUCUGUAACUGACGCUGAUGUGCGAAAGCGUGGGGAUCAAACAGG